UACGGAAGGCAGCAGUGGGGAAUAUUGCACAAUGGGCGCAAGCCUGAUGCAGCCAUGCCGCGUGUAUGAAGAAGGCCUUCGGGUUGUAAAGUACUUUCAGUCGUGAGGAAGGUGUUAAGGUUAAUAACCUUAGCAAUUGACGUUAGCGACAGAAGAAGCACCGGCUAACUCCGUGCCAGCAGCCGCGGUAAUACGGAGGGUGCGAGCGUUAAUCGGAUUUACUGGGCGUAAAGCGUGCGUAGGCGGCUGAUUAAGUCGGAUGUGAAAUCCCCUGAGCUUAACUUAGGAAUUGCAUUUCGAUACUGGUCAGCUAGAGUAUGGGAGAGGAUGGUAGAAUUCCAGGUGUAGCGGUGAAAUGCGUAGAGAUCUGGAGGAAUACCGAUGGGCGAAGGGCAGCCAUCUGGGCCUAAUACUGACGCUGAGGUACGAAAGCAUGGGGA
rnacentral:rRNA from 1 species